UAUGACGGGUAUCCGGCCUGAGAGGGUGAACGGACACACUGGAACUGAGACACGGUCCAGACUCCUACGGGAGGCAGCAGUAGGGAAUAUUGCUCAAUGGGCGAAAGCCUGAAGCAGCAACGCCGCGUGGAGGAUGAAGGUUUUAGGAUUGUAAACUCCUUUUGUUAGAGAAGAUAAUGACGGUAUCUAACGAAUAAGCACCGGCUAACUCCGUGCCAGCAGCCGCGGUAAUACGGAGGGUGCAAGCGUUACUCGGAAUCACUGGGCGUAAAGAGUGCGUAGGCGGGAAAAUAAGUCAGAUGUGAAAUCCUAUGGCUUAACCAUAGAACUGCAUUUGGAACUAUUUUUCUAGAGUGUGGGAGAGGUAGGUGGAAU
rnacentral:rRNA from 1 species